CAUACUGUGUCACAUUCCUUUAUAAUCCAUUAUUCUUCUUUCGAUUUGUGAUUUUCUCAUUGGUUAUAAUCAAAUCCUUUAAUGUUUUUAUUUAUUUUUUAAAUAAAUAUAGUUAAGGUGGCCCUCUUCGAAAAAUUUUGAGUUACCUGUCCAGAUUCUUUUUUUAUUUUUUAUUUUAAUAAACUUGUCCCCAAUUUCUUACGAUUACGAAACGAAUGCGAUUCCAUCCCCUAAUCAGAAAAGAACGUCGUCGUGCAAGAUUAUUGCUUGGAAUUCAAUGGCUUUAGCGCUCCACAAUCUCCUCAGAAAAUCGCCAGCCGCAAAAUUCAUUUCCGCUUUGCAAAACCACGAGCCCCGAAUCCCACCGCACCUCUUAUUUUCCAUUUCUCCCUUCUCAUCGAAUCCACCAAUCCAAGAUCGUUUCGGACUUGACGCAAAGCAGAGACCCAUUCCCAAUUCUCGCGAAUUUAUCCCAGCUUAUAUGGGUUUUACUUCAACCCGAUUUGCUCAACUGGGUCCGUCCCAUCUAAGACAGUUGACGCGAUUGCUGGACAGUGUGGGCGGAUAAUGUGAAGAAGAAGAGAAAGAGAAAGAUGAACAAGCACAAUUACAAGAUGCUGAGGAAGCGUCUCAGGGAGCACAGACUUUAGAUCAGCUGAGAAGAAAAGAAGACGAUUGUAGAUCUGCAACUGUCCCCUACCCCAUGGAAGCACCUCGGAUCUAUGUGGUCAACUUCAUAAAAGCGGAUAUCGUAGUAAGAUUUGUUUUCAUUUUACUAGUUUGAAGCUUACAGUUGAAAUUAUAAAAGGAUCAGUUUUGCUUCUUUACCAAGGCUUGGACAAAGAUGUUGAAUCACGGUGGAUCAAUUUACUCUACUGCCCCUUUUGCUCUAUAUGAAAGUUUUUAACCAUUUGAGAUUCUUCAUAUUCUAUCAUAGUGAAUGUCCUCCAACCAUGUUCCUUACAAGUAUUUCUCAUAAACCAUUUCUCAGAGUUGUGUGACUGCAUAUUUUUUUCUUUUUUUCCUCUGCUUCUGUUUCUUUUUACCCAUGUCUUUAAUAUUAUUCGGUAAAGCUUGAGUUUUAUGAUUCUCUUCUUGUAUGCAAUGAUAAUUUUUUAACAUUUGGCUUAUGUCUCUCAUCGAUUGGCAUUAGUAGCACUGCCAAAAAUACUUGUGAUCCUCAUUCCUCACACGUCUGGAUUUUAGAGCAUCAAGGUGAGUCCCAGGGAAUUUCUUCUUUUUCAGCUUUGGGAGUUGAGAUUGUUUGUUUACUCCACAGGAAUUGUAGUUGAGCAAUAUGGAUGACAACCAUGAUCCCAGUCGAUUUAUUCUUCCUGUUUGUUUUCCAUUUUUACUGCUCUCCCCAAGCCAAUUCUCUCUCCCUUUUUCUUUGGGUAUGGUAACCAAUCUUACACUACAUCAAUAAACCUGCAAGAUAUGUUUGUUCAGGAUGUGUGCGGCAAUUGUGGUUGAAGAUAAUCCAAACGUUUCAUGUAACAUCACCCAAAACUUGUCUUUAUGCGCUCGGCUGCUAAUGUUUACAUCUUUUGUGACACCAGCGAUCUUGAUGGAUGGAAAGGACAAGCCCUUCUCCCUGACCGAGUCAAAGUAGCCUGCUCAGUGCUGACCAGCACCACAGCACUAACUACCACCCUUAAAAUUUGGGUGCUCCUGCCAUAUUAAAUUGAACAAGGCACAGGAUGUAAGGUCUUUGGUCAUAUGUGAAAUUCAGCAGUUUAUUAUGGCACAGAGAUUUGAAGUUUUUAACCUUUCUGCCUUGUGUUAGAGCACCCCAUCUAUGGGUGCUAAAUAUUUGGUAACAGUACGACGCAUAUUUACAGUAGAUACGCACAAUACUCCUCUCUUAAAGCACACAUUCUCUAUAGAAGAUUCACAGAAUACUUGUUAUUGGGAACAAGAAAGAGUUCAGUUUUCUGAGAUGUACCCAGAAUUAGUAAAACCUUCUCAUGGAUUUCCCUUGUUGUGGUUAGAUGUAGUUCUGUUAUUUACCUUGGGAAAACAGAAGCGUUGGAACCACCCAAAAAUUAUAAUGCAUAUCAGGUGAGGAAUUUGCAACA